UACAGAGGAUGCAAGCGUUAUCCGGAAUGAUUGGGCGUAAAGCGUCUGUAGGUGGCUUUUUAAGUCCGCCGUCAAAUCCCAGGGCUCAACUCUGGACAGGCGGUGGAAACUACCAAGCUGGAGUACGGUAGGGGCAGAGGGAAUUUCCGGUGGAGCGGUGAAAUGCGUAGAGAUCGGAAAGAACAUCAGUGGCGAAAGCGGCUUCCUGGACCAGCACCGACGUUCAGGCACGAAAGCGUGGGGAGCAAACAGG
rnacentral:rRNA from 1 species